rnacentral:rRNA from 1 species
AGGACGAACGCUGGCGGCGUGCUUAACACAUGCAAGUCGAACGGUGAAGGAGAGCUUGCUCUCCGGAUCAGUGGCGAACGGGUGAGUAACACGUGAGUAACCUGCCCUUGACUCUGGGAUAAGCGUUGGAAACGACGUCUAAUACCGGAUACGAGCUUCAGCCGCAUGGCUAGGAGCUGGAAAGAAUUUCGGUCAAGGAUGGACUCGCGGCCUAUCAGCUAGUUGGUGAGGUAAUGGCUCACCAAGGCGACGACGGGUAGCCGGCCUGAGAGGUGACCGGCCACACUGGGACUGAGACACGGCCCAGACUCCUACGGGAGGCAGCAGUGGGAAUAUUGCACAAUGGCGCGAAGCCUGAUGCAGCAACGCCGCGUGGGGACGAAGGCCUUCGGUUGUAACCUCUUUAGUACGGAAGAGUCGAAAGUGAACGGUACUGACAGAAAAAGCUAACCGGCUAACUACGUAGACCAGACCAGUACCGAC